rnacentral:rRNA from 1 species
AUUGAACGCUGGCGGCAGGCCUAACACAUGCAAGUCGAACGGUAACAGGAAGAAGCUUGCUUCUUUGCUGACGAGUGGCGGACGGGUGAGUAAUGUCUGGGAAACUGCCUGAUGGAGGGGGAUAACUACUGGAAACGGUAGCUAAUACCGCAUAACGUCGCAAGACCAAAGAGGGGGACCUUCGGGCCUCUUGCCAUCGGAUGUGCCCAGAUGGGAUUAGCUAGUAGGUGGGGUAACGGCUCACCUAGGCGACGAUCCCUAGCUGGUCUGAGAGGAUGACCAGCCACACUGGAACUGAGACACGGUCCAGACUCCUACGGGAGGCAGCAGUGGGGAAUAUUGGACAAUGGGCGCAAGCCUGAUGCAGCCAUGCCGCGUGUAUGAAGAAGGCCUUCGGGUUGUAAAGUACUUUCAGCGGGGAGGAAGGGAGUAAAGUUAAUACCUUGGCUCAUUGACGUUACCCGCAGAAGAAGCACCGGCUAACUCCGUG